UGACGGCCCCGUGAACGGGCCGCCCCCGCCAGAGGACCCUUAACUCUGUUUCUUUUAGUGUAUCUUCUGAGUAAAACAAGCAAUAAUCAAACUUUCAACAACGGAUCUCUUGGCUCUGGCAUCGAUGAAGAACGCAGCGAAAUGCGAUAAGUAAUGUGAAUUGCAGAAUUCAGUGAAUCAUCGAAUCUUUGAACGCACAUUGCGCCCGCCAGUAUUCUGGCGGGCAUGCCUGUUCGAGCGUCAUUACAACCCUCAGGCCCCCGGGCCUGGCGUUGGGGAUCGGCGGAGCCCCCCGUGGGCACGCGCCGUCCCCCAAAUACAGUGGCGGUCCCGCCGCAGCUUCCAUCGCGUAGUAGCUAACACCUCGCGACUGGAGAGCGGCGCGGCCACGCCGUAAAACACCCAACUCUUCUGAAGUUGACCUCGAAUCAG
rnacentral:rRNA from 1 species